UGGGACCCCCCAGGACCACAAGGGACCCCUCUGGGACCCCCCAGGACCACAAGGGACCCUUCUGGAUCACACGGGGACCCCCCCAGGACCACGAGGGACCCCUCUGGGACCCCCCAGGACCACAAGGGACCCUUCUGGAUCACACGGGGACCCCCCCAGGACCACGAGGGACCCCUCUGGGACCCCCCAGGACCACAAGGGACCCUUCUGGAUCACACGGGGACCCCCCCAGGACCACGAGGGACCCCUCUGGGACCCCCCCAGGACCACAAGGGACCCUUCUGGAUCACACAGGGACCCCCCCAGGACCACGAGGGACCCCUCUGGGACCCCCCUGAGACCACGAGGGACCCCCCAGGACCACAAGGGACCCUUCUGGAUCACACAGGGACCCCCCCCAGGACCACGAGGGACCCCCCAGAACCACAAGGGACCCCCCCAAGGACUAUGAGGGAGCCGCCUGGACCCCCCCCACCCCUGAGGGACCCUCCUGGACCCACACAUGACCCCCCCAGAGAACGGCGAGGGACCCCCCCUGGACCCCUCCCAGCCUGUGAGGGACCCCCUGGACCCCCCAGAACCACAAGAGACCCCCAAAGGACUACAAGAGACACCCCCCACCCCCCAGACCUCAGUGGACCCCCAAGGACCAUGAGGAGACCCCCCCAGGGUCCCCCCAACUUCUGAGGGGACCCCCUUGAACCACAAGGGCCUUUGAGGGACCCCCACCCCUGACCUUGGGGUGACCCCCGAGGACAACAUGGGACCCCCCUGGAUUUUGGGGGACCCCCCCCAAACCGUGAGGGACCCGUGGAACAACAUGGGGACCCCCCUGGGCCCCCCAAAGCCCCUCGGGGGGGGGGGAAGGGCACACAGAGCCCCCCCCCCCAAUACGUGUGCAUGGACACGGACCUCCCCACGGGGCACACGCGUGUGAGCGGGGCUUCUGCUGGGCAGAAGCAGGAGGCUGACGUGUGCGAGGCGUGUGCGAGGCGUGUGCAAGGCCUGAGGCGUGUGCGAGGCGUGUGCAAGGCCUGAGGUGUGUGUGAGGCGUGUGCGAGGCGUGUGCAAGGCCUGAGGCGUGUGCGAGGCGUGUGCAAGGCCUGAGGCGUGUGCGAGGCGUGUGCGAGGCGUGUGCAAGGCCUGAGGCGUGUGCGAGGCGUGUGCAAGGCCUGAGGCGUGUGCGAGGCGUGUGCAAGGCGUGUGCAAGGCGUGUGCAAGGCUUGAGGCGUGUGCGAGGCGUGUGCAAGGCCUGAGGCGUGUGCGAGGCGUGUGCAAGGCGUGUGCAAGCCCUGAGGCGUGUGCGAGGCGUGUGCGAGCUGUGUGCAAGCCCUGAGGCGUGUGCGAGGCGUGUGCAAGCUCUGAGGCGUGUGCGAGGCGUGUGCGAGGCCUGAGGCGUGUGUGAGGCGUGUGCAAGGCCUGAGGCGUGUGUGAGGCGUGUGCGAGGCGUGUGCAAGGCCUGAGGCGUGUGCGAGGCGUGUGCGAGGCGUGUGCAAGGCGUGUGCGAGGCGUGUGCAAGGUCUGAGGCGUGUGCGAGGCGUGUGCAAGGCCUGAGGCGUGUGCGAGGCGUGUGCGAGGCGUGUGCGAGGCGUGUGCAAGGCGUGUGCAAGGCCUGAGGCGUGUGCGAGGCGUGUGCAAGGCCUGAGGUGUGUGCGAGGCGUGUGCAAGGCCUGAGGCGUGUGCGAGGCGUGUGCGAGGCGUGUGCAAGGCCUGAGGCGUGCGUGAGGCAUGUGCGAGGCGUGUGCAAGGCCUGAGGCGUGUGUGAGGCGUGUGCGAGGCGUGUGCAAGGCCUGAGGCGUGUGCGAGGCGUGUGCAAGGCCUGAGGCGUGUGCGAGGCGUGUGCGAGGCGUGUGCGAGGCGUGUGCAAGGCGUGUGCAAGGCCUGAGGCGUGUGCGAGGCGUGUGCAAGGCCUGAGGCGUGUGCGAGGCGUGUGCGAGGCGUGUGCAAGGCCUGAGGCGCGUGUGCAAGGCGUGUGCGAGGCGUGUGCAAGGCGUGUGCGAGGCGUGUGCAAGGCCUGAGGCGUGUGCGAGGCGUGUGCAAGGCCUGAGGCGUGCGUGAGGCGUGUGCGAGGCAUGUGCAAGCCCUGAGGUGUGUGUGAGGCGUGUGCGAGGCGUGUGCAAGCCCUGAGGCGUGUGCGAGGCGUGUGCGAGGCGUGAGGCGUGUGCGAGGCGUGUGCAAGCCCUGAGGCGUGUGCAAGGUCUGAGGCAUGUUCAAGCCGUGUGCAAGGUCUGAGGCAUGUUCAAGCCGUGUGCAAGCCCUGAGGCGUGUGCGAGGCGUGUGCAAGCCCUGAGGCGUGUACGAGGUGUGUGCGAGCCGUGUGCAAGGUCUGAGGCGUGCACAAGCCGUGUGCGAGGCGUGUGCGAGGCGUGUGCGAGCUGUGUGCACGGACGAACCCCAUCUGCAGCCCCCCCACCCCCCCCCAGUUCACCCCAGUCCCUCCCAGUUUGGCCUGGGGGGGCCCUGGGGGGUCCCUGCCCCCCCCCCCCCCCCCUUAUUUAUGGCUCUGCCCCAUUAAAGCUGGUGAACACGG